GAUGAAGAACGCAGCGAAAUGCGAUAAGUAGUGUGAAUUGCAGAAUUCAGUGAAUCAUCGAAUCUUUGAACGCACAUUGCGCCCGCCAGUAUUCUGGCGGGCAUGCCUGUUCGAGCGUCAUUUCAACCCUCAAGCCCAGCUUGGUGUUGGGGAUCGGCACAGGCGCCCUCGGGCGCCAGCCGUCCCCUAAAUCUAGUGGCGGUCCCGCUGCAGCCUCCUCUGCGUAGUAGUUUUCUCCUCGCAAGGGCAGCUCGGUGGCGACCUCGCCGUAAAACCCCCAACUUCUGAAAGGUUGACCUCGAAUCAGGUAGGAAUACCCGCUGAACUUAAGCAUAUCAAUAAGCGGAGGA
rnacentral:misc_RNA from 1 species